rnacentral:rRNA from 1 species
UACAGAGGGGGCAAGCGUUGUUCGGAAUUACUGGGCGUAAAGGGCGCGUAGGCGGCCCGCUAAGUCGAACGUGAAAUCCCCGAGCUCAACUCGGGAACUGCGUCCGAUACUGGCGGGCUUGAAUCCGGGAGAGGGAUGCGGAAUUCCAGGUGUAGCGGUGAAAUGACGUAGAUAUCUGGAGGAACACCGGUGGCGAAGGCGGCAUCCUGGACCGGCAUGACGCUGAGGCGCGAAAAGCUAGG